CUCUUACCCACUUGAAGAUAAUAAUAGAAUGUAAUAACAUUUUAAAAUUCACAAAUUAAAUAUAAUUCCAUGCAAAAAUGCUUUUAGUGAGUGAGUUAAAGCUGUUAUAAUUUAUGUGAUUUAAUAGAAACUGGUAUAAAAGCCAGGCCCGGUCUGGUCAGGUCGGCAGGUCGGCGAUCGCCGAGGGCUCCGGCCCAAGGGGGCCCCUAGCCAAACUAAACUAAAUAAAUUUUUGAAAAUAUGUUGUUUUGACAAGUUUAUUUCAUUUAAACGUUUUAAAAAGAACAACGAAUAGACAUCAUGGGCAAGGUUCUGUAUUGACAUUUUUGUCAAAAUCUUUUAUUUGAACAAGUUAAUAAAAACAAUUGCUUCGAUGAAACGCAAUAUAAUUUUGAAAGGCUUCCACAAUAACAUGAUUCAUAACGUUAUGGUAGACUCUACCCAAGAUAUCGGAAGCACUUAUGUACCAAUUGGCUUUUUUUGUACGAUAUGUCAUUCGAUGAAAAGUUUCUGAAAGGCUUCUAGAAAUUACUGUAGUUGACGACUCGAGUGGUCUUACUUUGUACAAGCGUGUAACUCCGGAAUUAACCAAGUACGGAAUUCUGGAAUCAAAUAUCGUUUCAUGUUCAUUCGACGAAAAAAAUAACAUGAAAGGGUAUUAUAACGGUUUACAGGCUCACCUUAAAAAGGUAAAUGAAAAUAUGACGUAUCUAUCACGUCUUGAACCUAGUAGCGGGUUCAUCAGGAGUAAAGUUACUAGAGACAGAAAACUUAUUUGGAUUGGUGGAAGAAUCUGCAGUUUUUCUGAGUUCAUCUUAAAAGCGAAUGGCAGUAUGGGAGAAAGAAACAAAAAGCAACAUACAAACUUUAUAGACUGCAAAAGUCUCUAAGGAUCUAUCUGCGAUAAUUGAUGAAAGUGUGUUGAAGGAAACUGCCAAAGAUAAAUAAUUGAUGUCAGUAAACCGUAAUAAAAAAAAACAUGAUGGUCAAUUGUAAAUCCAUACAAUAUGGCCAGAAAUUUGGCAAAUCAAUGAUCAAAAAUUAGAAACUCAUUUAUUUCAUUCGUUUUACAUUUGGUUCUUGUUAUAACUCCUGGUUCAAAAUAUUUGCAAACUAAAACAUUGAACUACGCUGUUGCUUGGAAUUCAUUUCCAUCAGUGCUCAAACUAAUUAAUGAAAAAAGAAAUGAUGAACAUUUUGAAGUUGUAUACACGAAAACAAAAGAGUAUGCGACAAGAGUCUGCUGUUAAUUGUAAAUCGGAAGAUAAUAAUAUUGAUGUGGAAAUAAAAUUGGAUUUCACGGAAAGAACUUCAAAGAAAAAACGGAUGUCUGGGAAAAAUCAAAAGAUGAUUCUCCUAAAAUCUCAACAAAAAUAAUUACAAGCCAGUAUUUUUCAAUAUGUUAGACUGUAUUAGAACCAGCAUUGAAGAAAGUUUUUGUCCAAAUAGAGAAAUUUUAGAGGGCCUGACUUGGUUACAACCAAGAAAGUCCAAUGAAAUAAGCUUGAAGAUAUUCCAACUCCCCUCUUGUAUUUCAAACCUGCAAAGUUGAUUAUUAACAUAAAUAAUUUGCAAUCAGUUCAAAAGUUUCAUGAAAAUCGAAAAUAAUCAAGAUGAAGAAAUCCCAGGCGAAAUGUUAAACAAAGCAGAAGGAAAUUUAGAUUACUGUCAAAUUGAUUCAGAACCUAAAUCAGAAGAAGCAACUUUUCGUGGUCUCCGCAAUGACAGUAAAACAAUUGUCAAGUGUUCCUCAUGCGUAUAUUCAUUCACUUCUAAAAAUAAUCAAGAAUCGUCUUAGGUCUAAGUCAAGCCAAAACCUUAUUUCUAGCCUAGUUUUUAUGAACAUAGAAAGAGAUUUAUUUUCUGACUUGGACAAAGAUGACAUAAUUAAUGUCAUGGGCAGGAGUUGUGAAGAACUUACCAAAGACUGAAAGCAUAGUUCGUGAAAUCAUUAAUUACUCAACUAGCACUGUGCUAAGAAUUUUUUUUGUAUUUAUAUCGUUAACAACAGUAUUCAUUUUGACCUACUUUAUAUAAUGAUUUAUUUUA